GACUGGCUGGCUCAGUUGGCUAGAGCAUGGGGCUGAUAACACCAAGGUUGCAGGUUCAAUCCCCGUAUGGGAGAGUUGCA
rnacentral:tRNA from 1 species